GAUGAACGCUGGCGGCGUGCUUAACACAUGCAAGUCGAACGAUGAAGCCCAGCUUGCUGGGUGGAUUAGUGGCGAACGGGUGAGUAACACGUGAGUAACCUGCCCUUAACUCUGGGAUAAGCCUGGGAAACUGGGUCUAAUACCGGAUAGGAGCGUCCACCGCAUGGUGGGUGUUGGAAAGAUUUAUCGGUUUUGGAUGGACUCGCGGCCUAUCAGCUUGUUGGUGAGGUAAUGGCUCACCAAGGCGACGACGGGUAGCCGGCCUGAGAGGGUGACCGGCCACACUGGGACGGAGACACGGCCCAGACUCCUACGGGAGGCAGCAGUGGGGAAUAUUGCACAAUGGGCGCAAGCCUGAUGCAGCGACGCCGCGUGAGGGAUGACGGCCUUCGGGUUGUAAACCUCUUUCAGUAGGGAAGAAGCGAAAGUGACGGUACCUGCAGAAGAAGCACCGGCUAACUACGUG
rnacentral:rRNA from 1 species